UACGUAGGGGGCAAGCGUUGUCCGGAUUUAUUGGGCGUAAAGAGCGUGUAGGCGGCUAGGUAGGUCCGUUGUGAAAACUCGAGGCUCAACCUCGAGCUGUCGAUGGAAACCAUCUGGCUAGAGUCCGGAAGAGGAGAGUGGAAUUCCUGGUGUAGCGGUGAAAUGCGCAGAUAUCAGGAAGAACACCUAUGGCGAAGGCAGCUCUCUGGGACGGUACUGACGCUGAGACGCGAAAGCGUGGGGAGCGAACAGG
rnacentral:rRNA from 1 species